AUAUUGGGCAAUGGGCGCAAGCCUGACCCAGCAACGCCGCGUGGAGGAAGAAGGCUUUCGGGUUGUAAACUUCUUUUAUGAGGGACGAAGGAAGUGACGGUACCUCAUGAAUAAGCUCCGGCUAACUACGUGCCAGCAGCCGCGGUAAUACGUAGGGAGCGAGCGUUAUCCGGAUUUACUGGGUGUAAAGGGCGUGUAGGCGGGGAAGCAAGUCAGAUGUGAAAACCAGUGGCUCAACCACUGGCCUGCAUUUGAAACUGUUUUUCUUGAGUGAUGGAGAGGCAGGCGGAAUUCCGUGUGUAGCGGUGAAAUGCGUAGAUAUACGGAGGAACACCAGUGGCGAAGGCGGCCUGCUGGACAUUAACUGACGCUGAGGCGCGAAAGCGUGGGGAGCAAACAG
rnacentral:rRNA from 1 species